GGGCCUAUGGUGCAAUCCGGACAACACGCUCGGCUUCGGACCGAGAGAUUGGGGUUCAAAUCCUCAUAGGCUCA
rnacentral:tRNA from 1 species